UACGUAGGGGGCGAGCGUUGUCCGGAGUACUGGGCGUAAAGCGCACGCAGGCGGUUUCGUACGUCUGGAGUGACAGUUCCCGGCUCAACUGGGAAAGGUCUUCGGAAACGGCGAGACUUGAAGGCUUCAGAGGGACACGGAAUUCCGGGUGGAGUGGUGAAAUGCGUAGAGAUCCGGAGGAACACCAAUGGCGAAGGCAGUGUCCUGGGAAGCAUCUGACGCUCAGGUGCGAAAGCUAGGGGGAGCGAACAGG
rnacentral:rRNA from 1 species